AAUUUGCAAUCGAGCAGGUGAAAACCAAAACACGUCUCCACCGGAGUAACACCGGUGCCAUGGUAUCUUUAUGUCAUUCUGAGGUCUUUUCCAAUUUAGUAACGAAAUUUACUAUAUUGGCAUGAUUGAUAAACACUAUACAAAUAGCAAAUGGCAGAGUGUCUUUUGUGAUUGUGUUUGUGAUGGCAAGUUUAGGAAAGAAUGAAGACGUAUUAUGUACGUCGGAUGGUAUUGAAAGCGUCUACAAUAAAUUAGUGGCUCAAGAGGAAGAAAUAAACAAUGGACUGGAGACUCUUCUUUCAAGGCAAUGCCACUUGGAAGCGAAACUGCGUGGCAUUACUAAGGUAUUACCAAAUCUGCAGAUUGUUCAUUCCGAUGCUCAGCAACUUGCAGAAAUGAUAACAUUUACUUCCACUUUGGCAGAAAAUGUCAGUUCAAAAGUACGCCAGCUUGAUAUUGCUAGGAGCAGGGUAUCUGAGUGCCAACAACGGGUGCAUGAUUUACUGGAUCUUCAGUUAUGUAGUGAUGGCGUACAAACUGCUCUUCGGAACGAGGAUUUUGAAAAAGCAGCUGCCCAUGUCCAUCGCUUUCUUUCCAUGGACCAGCAUCUUCUAAAACAGACUGCAGAUGAUGUGGCUGAGGAUUGUACCAGUGUCACAAAUUCAUUUUCAUUACUGCAUGAAGCAGCCACCCAGUUAGGUGCUGUUGUCACUCAGAAAUUUGAUGAAGCAGUACAUGCUGAUGAUUUGGCAUCAGUGGAGAGAUUUUUUAAAAUAUUCCCACUACUUGGGAUGCAGGAUGAGGGACUUGUCAGAUUUUCCUCAUAUCUUUGUUCAAAGUUGAAGGAUACAGCUCUUAAGAACCUGCGACUUGCACUGGAAACAAACACAUCUGACAAGCGAGCAAAUGUUAUCUAUGCCGAUACUAUAACACUCUUGUUUGAGGGAAUUGCUCGAGUCAUUGAGAUCCAUCAACCCCUAAUCGAGACAUACUAUGGUCCUGGCCGACUGUUAACAGUGGCUUCAUAUCUUCAGAGAGAAUGUGAUCGCCAGAGCAAGCGAAUCCUGGCUGAGUUUAGCAAGUGUCGGCAUUUGGAGAAGAUAGUGCAGCAAGUUAAUGAAUACAUGCGAACCAAUAAUGUGUAUAGCAAGCCAACAGACAAGCUGGAUCCCAAGGAGCUGGACCUGUUGCUUGGGGAGCUUACCAUCAUGCAUUCACGUGCUGAGCUAUAUGUGCGCUUCAUAAGAAGGAGAGUCAUGAAUGACUUAGAGAUUGGAGUGCCAAGUGGUGAUACUCGGACUGCACUGGUAUCAGAGUUAGAAGCCAUGCUUAAUGGAAGUGAGUUAUGUCAUAGAAUGCAGGAACUGUUGAGUAGUUACCUGCUGUUGGAGAGAUAUUUUAUGGAAGAGAGUGUGAAGAAGGCUGUGGUAAUGGAUUCUGUGGAAGAGGGCUCUCACACAUCCAGUAUGGUGGAUGAUGUUUUUUUCAUUGUCCGGAAAUGCAUACGUCGUGCUGGCACCAGCUCUAGCCUGGAUGGUGUGUGUGCUGUUAUCAAUAAUGCUUGUGCACUACUAGAGACUGACUUUUGUGAAGUGCUGAGACGACAGCUGCGACAGGGCUACCCAUCUGGUUAUCUGGACCUAACACAGGCAUACAGCGUGCUGCAUACUUCUAUACAGCAGGGUCGCCUGCAGGCAUCAGAUUCAGAGCAAGCACGUCUUAUGUUCCUGACUUAUUUAAACAAUGCUGAUGCAAGCACUGAAUACACUGACACAUUGCGAAGAAGCCUGAUGGACGAAGUUCCCAGUGUGUUGACGACCAUGUCAGAAAAUGAACGAGUUAAGUUGGAAAGCUGUUUGUCUGGAUUGGGCUCAGUAGCAGCCAGCUUGAAGGCUGUUAUUGACUAUGGAAUGGAACAGCUGAGAGUCAUUGUCAUCAAACCACGAGUAAAUCCGUGGGUGGAUACCUUUUUGUCUGUCAGUCAUCAGCUGUCAGAGGAGGACUUUGCAAAUUAUGAAGCAAAUGAACCAUUUGUUCAGAACCUGAUAAUGAACUUGGAUGGACUGUUGGGCCUCUUCAGAGGUUCUCUCACCACAAGCAACUACGACACAUUGGUCAGCAUCCUGACAGCUGAAGUCACCGCUCAUUUGGAGAAGGUUGUGAUCAAGUCUACGUUUAACAGGUUGGGAGGACUAGUCUUUGACAAGGAAGUGCGCGCCCUAGUGAGUUACCUCACAAGCACCACAUCAUGGUCAAUUCGUGACAAGUUUGCCCGCCUGACACAGAUGGCCACUGUGCUCAACCUUGAAAGAGUGACUGAGAUCUCAGACUAUUGGGGUAGCAAUUCUGGCCCUCUCACUUGGAGACUAACCCCUGCAGAUAUUCGUCAGGUCAUGACCCUUAGGUGAAAAAAUGAUCAUAAACCUGCUCUUCAAGUAAUCUGCGAGGGUGAGAUUUAAAUGCCCAGUGCGCCAGUGAAAACUGACAGACUUUCGAAGUGAUGACAUCAAACGGCUUAAGCUAUGAAGUAGUGGUGAAAAAUACAUCUUGAAGUCUGAAGAAUUUGUGCUGUUUCUAAAAUGAAUUUCUCUUGGGUGCGGCAGGCACCUUGCAAGGUGUAUUUUCAUUAACAUUGGUUUUAGUUCCAUUGAAAUUUCUGUACAUUUAUUUUGUUGGUUAUCACAAAUGCAUAUUUGUCUAACCAG